rnacentral:rRNA from 1 species
CCCUUGUCGGUGCCGUAGGGAAGCCGUGAAGCGAGCCACCUGGGAAGUACGGCCGCAAGGCUGAACCUUAAAGGAAUUGGCGGGGGAGCACCACACCGGGUGGAGCUUGCGGUUUAAUUGGAUUCAACGCCGGAAAUCUUACCGGGACCGACAGCAAUAUGAAGGCCAGGCUGAAGACUUUGCCGGAUUAGCUGAGAGGUGGUGCAUGGCCGUCGUCAGUUCGUACUGUGAAGCAUCCUGUUAAGUCAGGCAACGGGCGAGACCCACGCCCACAGUUGCCAGCGUACUCUCUGGAGUGACGGGUACACUGUGGGGACCGCCGCUGCUAAAGCGGAGGAAGGAAUGGGCAACGGUAGGUCAGUAUGCCCCGAAUAUCCCGGGCUACACGCGAGCUACAAUGGUUGGUACAAUGGGUAUCUACCCCGAAAGGGGACGGGAAUCUCCUAAAACCAAUCUUAGUUCGGAUUGAGGGCUGCAACUCGCCCUCAUGAAGCUGGAAUCCGUAGUAAUCGCGUUUCAACAGAACGCGGUGAAUACGUCCCUGCUCCUUGCACACACCGCCCGUCAAACCACCCGAGUAGGGUCUGAAUGAGAGCGCUUUCUUUGGAGGCGUUCGAAUUUGGGCUUUGCAAGGGGGGUUAAGUCGUAACAAGGUAGCCGUA